rnacentral:lncRNA from 1 species
UGAAUAAUGGCUGAUCGAUAGUGAUUGGUAAACUGUUGGAAGGGGGAAAUCAGUCUUUUUGUUUCUAGAUAGACUAUAUGUGGUUAAUUACUUACUUCCCUGGACAAGGUUGCAGUUGCCUCCAUCAAAAUUAGGCAUAGAACAUGGAGUGAUGGUCUUCUCCUUGUUAUUGUUCAUGGAUCAUUGUAUUUUGGGAUUCUUAGGUGCUAACUUGUGGUUUAUAUGCUAUUUGGUUGUGUCAAAUCAGGGUUCUUGUAUCCUCGUUGUGAAUGCUGUGUUCACAUAUCCCCCCCUUUGUGCUGGGCCUUUUAAAUCACAUCAUCUGCAGGCUGGUCAAUAUUGGGUGCUAUUGUCUUACGCGCUUAGAGUUGCAUAAUUUUGUGACCAUGCUAGGUCAUGUCAUUGCGCUUAAUUAGAGUUGCAAUGUCUUCCUUUUGAUUUCUUCAUUGGCAUUUCUAGUUGUAAUUGUAGUUGAGAAACAACUGCUACUGUGCAUGCUUCAGGGCCUGUUAGAUUUAAGCGGCGUGUUAUAUUUAAGCAAGUUCUUAUAGUGAGAAUGUUGUUGUUAUAUUUAAGCAAGUUCUUAUAGUGAGAAUGUUGUUUAUAUAUUGUAAAGUUUGCGAGAUGUUGCUCCUACCAUCCAUUAUGUAAGGCCUGCCAAUUUUGCUUGGAUUGAAUAAGAUGGUGUGCUGUGGUUGUUAUAGUUGAGGGUCAAAAGUAGUGGUUAGCUUUAACAUGAUUCGCUGGUGCUUUCAUCACAUAACACAUUCUUUGAAAAGGGGAUAUUCUGAAGUCGAUGCUUUCUCGGGAUGGGAAUAGUAGUCUGAAAUACACCUGAUGGAAACCUUUGUUGAUUGUGAUCUCUGCACAUGUUUAAUGCCUAUGCUGUUGUGCGGCUGUUAUGCGUGUCUAUGUCGGUGAGCUUGUGUUAUGCACUUGUGCGUUUUGGUGUCCCCCCAUAGUUCUCUCAUGUCACUGGUGUUUGAUACGGGUGAUUAUCUUGGUCCUUGCUGGUGUUUUCUCUAUCCAUGGAUUUUUAGAAUCCUGCGAGUCCUGGGCUCUCUCUUCACUGGUGUGGUGAUUAUCUUAGCCCUUUUCAUUUUUAUCAUGACAUUCUUGAGGAUACCGGUGUGUCUGAGGGCAUGUACCAUGAUCAGGUCGAGUGAGUCCAACCGUAAACCGGUUUUUCUUCAAGGGAAAAAACAUGUCGAUCAUGCAUAGAAGCAUUUUGCAAAUCGAAUUACACUAUUUGAUCAGGGCAACCAUUCCUCGGACCCUUUGACCUCACCGUGAAGCGAAACGAAAUUGAUCAGGUUGAGUUCAGAUUCCAGUAGUAGAUGAGAUAAAUUACCAUCCCUUUGUGUCCUGAUAGUGCAACAGUACACUGCUGUACUCUUUGAACCAUUGCUCGCAGCUCAGUCGUCCUUCGUUUGUCUUUUGGUGGACGGCAAAGCUGGGCCGACAGUUCAGGUAGAGCAGAGCUGGAGAAUCUCCAAGCGAACUGGUAGCACAUCUGGCCGAAGAUUUUUGGCGAAACCACGCACCAGUAGCUUUCGUUGUGCUCUGUACGAUUCUCCAGUGGGCGCAGCGCGCGGCGCGGGCCGUUCAGGGUUUAGGAGGAGUGGAGGAACGUCGUUAAUCAGGGUGUGGGUGUAGCCUGGCAUCAUCAAGGGGAACUCCAUGAUUUUUCAGCCAAGCUCGCGUGGGUGAGACCGGACUUGGCGACUCACUGGUGAUCCGCCGUGACUUGGCGACUCACUAAGUGACCCGCCCGGUCUCUUCACUCACUGAUGACCCGGCCGAGGCAGGUGACUCAUUGGUGACCCGGCGGGCGGGUCAGAGAAAUGACAAGACCCGGUGGCCCAGAGGGCGGUUCAUGGAAGUCUGGCUCAAGCUAUGGUGGGCCGAUUUAAGAGGAAAGUAUAAGGAAUGUUUUCUUACAAAGGAAGCAAGACUAUGACUCCACUUGUAAUAGAGUAAUUCUAAUCCCAAUAGGACCAUCAGCUGCCAGUGAAUUUGCAACCGACCGUGGCUUCUCUCUCAAUGUGCAGCGUUCAUCUGGCGGAACCAAUCCAACUCCUACCGUUCAAUUUAUUUUUUUGAAUCAAAGGGGUUUCCCCCUGCCCUCGACUUUCUAUUAAAAAGCAGAGGCAAACACCACCACCAACGUUCAAACAGCUCUCAGCCACAACCAGUUUUGAGAAAUUCAAAAGGGUGCCUAGCAGGACAAGGUAGGCAGCUACAGUAAAAAAGUUAGUACAGAGUUGAGACACUUAUUUUGAGACAGAUGGAGUACAAUAGAUAGAAAUCAGAGGAACCUACCAUCACCCUACUAAACCACCCGGGCAUUGAUCAUCUCCAAGCAAUCCCAAGGAGCUCCCUCCGAUGAUGAUCGAUUAGGCGCAACCGCGCAAGCAUCUGAGGAGCAGGGCAGCUUGAGCAUCUGCACAGAGCAUCUUCCAUUGUCUGACCAAACCCAGGAUGCACGACCUUGAAAAAAAAA